CGUGGGUUUGAAUGCCUGGGAGUCUCGCGGCUUAAAAAGGCCUGCAAAAACAGGCGGGGAAAAGUGACGGGCGUGGACGGUGCAAUCUGCAGAAAUGCGUUCCUGCCUGGAUAAGCAGCUCACACGGAGAGGGCUGACUUGGCCUUGCGUGUCUCAAGUUGUCCUUUCCAUCCGCAACAUUACGGAGAUGUUACCAUGAGAUGAAAAUGCAACUUUGGUUAUCUUGGAGCAGAAGAUGCAAACGGAGCCACGCUCAGCCAGCCUCAUGGCAGAAGAAGCCCCGCAUGGCAUGAAGGCUUGAAGCAGCUGGGACCUCUGGGAUGGCAGGGUGCAAAAGGUCCUGCGUAAGGAUGCUUUUGUCUCAGAUGCCCACCUGUUUCGCUACCAGGAGGCCGGGGGCCCUCGAAAAGCUUGCAGCCGACUCCAUGAUCUUUGUAAUCGGUGGCCGAAGCCAGAUCAGCACACGAAAACAGAGAUGCUGGACCUGGUGAUCCUGGAGUAGUUCCUGACCCUCCUGCCCGCAGAGAUGCAGAGCUGGGUCAGGGGAUGUGGGCCAAGCACCAUGUCCCAGGCAGUGGCCCUGGCAGAAGGUUCCCUUUUGAGUCAGGCAGAGGGGGGAAAGCUGAAGAAGCAGCAGGUCAGUAGGUUUCCAAAGUUCUUCAGAAGGGGACCAGAUACCCACCAUUUUGGGAGGAAACUGCCCAUGGAGGAAUUGUCCCAAGCUCUGACAGCCUUUCCUCUACGGUGCUCUGUUAUUUCCCUGCUCCCAGUCUGAGAUCAUCAGUGCUGUUUCAGGGCCACAGACCACUGAGGGCAAGAGCAGGUCACUCACCUGCUAUAGAGAAGGAGCCAUCAGACAGCCAGGAGGCAAUUCCUUGCAGGUGGAUCAUUCAGGAAGAUGCUCAAGCAGAUGGUGGAAUUGUACUGACAGUGUACACAGGGUUGUCAAAUGGCAAAGCAGAAGCAUCUUACGAACAGACUGAGAAGCAUCCGGUGACCUUUGAGGACAUUACUGUGUAAUUCACUGAGGAGGAAUGGACUCUCUUGGGUCUGAGCCAGAGGGCCCUGUACACUGAAGUCAUGGCAGAGAAUUAUGGGGCAGUGGCUUCUCUGGAGAGCAGUGAGUUGAAGAGUGUGGAUGAAGGAGAGCUGUGCAGAACGUCAUUGGAAAGAGUUGGUUUGGAUACUGAAGGAUGGUGGAGAACAAGUACAGAUGAAAACAGGAGGAAUGAACUACUCGCGUUGCACAGUGGCAGUUUCUGUGAAGUGGACAGAGAGAGGGAAAUAAUUCAUUGCCCCCUGUGUGGGAAGAGCUUCAGUUAUAACUCAAGUCUGAGUUACCAUCUGAAAACUCACACAGGAGAGAUACCUUUUCGGUGCUCGCGGUGUGGAAAGGGGUUUGUCCGGAAAUCAGAGCUUAGUUGUCAUCAGAGAAUCCACACUGGGGAGAAACCCUUUUUCUGCAUGGAAUGUGGAAAGAACUUUUCUCAGAAGGCAAGACUGAUGCAACAUCAAAGGACACAUACAGGUACGGUCAUUUUUGGAACCUCGUGGAUUCCCAAAGGUUUCCUUUGCUGAGAGGCAUGGCGGCAGAGAUCAGCUCGUAGUUUGGACCGACGCGCCUGUGCGAGUCCGUUCUCUCAGCCGUGAAACUGCUCACAUCAGAGUGCGGAAGGCAGCUGAGCGACAGGGACCUGGGCAACUGCGUGCGAGCUGCCUUCUCCCUCUACACCCCCGAUUACAGCAAGCUUGCCAAUGACUCGUGGUGUCUUCUGGGAGCUGGGGCACAAUUGGAAGCACAGCACCGCAUCGCUGCAUAAACUGCGACUGUCGGAUCAGUCAGACUGAAACCAAAAAUAAAAUAUGUGGAAAGUAGACGGAGUUGCGUGCUGUGAAGCGCAAAGCCGGCCGGUGUGUAACAAUCGAAAUGGGGUGGAAUCCCUAGAGCACCUCCAGAGAUUCUACUAUCCAUCUUAAGUUUAUCUAAUCCUUGUUUAUGUUUCCAUUGACUAUCUUAUUUUUGCUUUAGUAUUCAAAGACUAGAAAGAAUAUAAAGCCCCAUGCAAAAGAAUAUAAAAUCCCAUGCAAAACAAGCAUAAACUUUUAUGGAUAGAGAAAUAAAUAUGAAUCACUGUGAAUUAGCUGGU